ACGGCAGCACAGAGAAGCUUGCUUCUUGGGUGGCGAGUGGCGAACGGGUGAGUAACAUAUCGGAACGUACCGAGUAAUGGGGGAUAACUAAUCGAAAGAUUAGCUAAUACCGCAUAUUCUCUGAGGAGGAAAGCAGGGGACCUUCGGGCCUUGCGUUAUUCGAGCGGCCGAUAUCUGAUUAGCUAGUUGGUGGGGUAAAGGCCUACCAAGGCGACGAUCAGUAGCGGGUCUGAGAGGAUGAUCCGCCACACUGGGACUGAGACACGGCCCAGACUCCUACGGGAGGCAGCAGUGGGGAAUUUUGGACAAUGGGCGCAAGCCUGAUCCAGCCAUGCCGCGUGUCUGAAGAAGGCCUUCGGGUUGUAAAGGACUUUUGUCAGGGAAGAAAAGGCUGUCGCUAAUACCGACAGUUGAUGACGGUACCUGAAGAAUAAGCACCGGCUAACUACGUGCCAGCAGCCGCGGUAAUACGUAGGGUGCAAGCGUUAAUCGGAAUUACUGGGCGUAAAGCGAGCGCAGACGGUUACUUAAGCAGGAUGUGAAAUCCCCGGGCUCAACCUGGGAACUGCGUUCUGAACUGGGUGACUAGAGUGUGUCAGAGGGAGGUAGAAUUCCACGUGUAGCAGUGAAAUGCGUAGAGAUGUGGAGGAAUACCGAUGGCGAAGGCAGCCUCCUGGGAUAACACUGACGUUCAUGCUCGAAAGCGUGGGUAGCAAACAGGAUUAGAUACCCUGGUAGUCCACGCCCUAAACGAUGUUAAUUAGCUGUUGGGCAACUUGAUUGCUUAGUAGCGUAGCUAACGCGUGAAAUGACCG
rnacentral:rRNA from 1 species